GCCGUCGUAGCACAAUGGUAGUGCGUUGCUUUCCUAUUGCGCGCUUCUCGCGUUACGGAAGAGGCAGAGGUUGUGGGUUCGAUCCCCACCGUCGGUU